rnacentral:lncRNA from 1 species
UAUCGAAGCAGCAGAAGAAUUAACUGAAAAUAGAACAAAAGGAUUACUUAAUACAUGCUUACUAUUAAUUGAACUUUAACUUUACUUUAUAGAUUCAAAAUAAGCAAAUCCCAUUACAAGAUACCUAGCAGAACAUUGAUUUUAGUCUUUGGACAGAAAAUCAACUUGUAAGUGGUACUCUUGGUGUAGUGAUCAAAUAU